rnacentral:tRNA from 1 species
GCGUUCUUAGCUCAGAUGGUUAGAGUAUCAUCUUGACAAGGUGAAGGUCAGAGGUUCAAAUCCUCUAGAACGCA